rnacentral:rRNA from 1 species
AGUGAACGCUGGCGGUAGGCCUAACACAUGCAAGUCGAACGGCAGCACAGUAAGAGCUUGCUCUUACGGGUGGCGAGUGGCGGACGGGUGAGGAAUACAUCGGAAUCUACUUUUUCGUGGGGGAUAACGUAGGGAAACUUACGCUAAUACCGCAUACGACCUACGGGUGAAAGCAGGGGAUCUUCGGACCUUGCGCGAUUGAAUGAGCCGAUGUCGGAUUAGCUAGUUGGCGGGGUAAAGGCCCACCAAGGCGACGAUCCGUAGCUGGUCUGAGAGGAUGAUCAGCCACACUGGAACUGAGACACAGUCCAGACUCCUACGGGAGGCAGCAGUGGGGAAUAUUGGACAAUGGGCGAAAGCCUGAUCCAGCCAUACCGCGUGGGUGAAGAAGGACUUCGGGUUGUAAAGCCCUUUUGUUGGGAAAGAAAAGCAGCAGGUUAAUACCCCGCUGUUCUGACGGUACCCAAAGAAUAAGCACCGGCUAACUUCGUG